UCCGUAGGGGGCAAUCGUUGUUCGGAUUUACUGGGCGUAAAGGGCGCGUAGGCGGCGCGUAAAGUCGGACAUGAAAUCAUUGGGCUUAACCCGAUGGCUGUGCCCGAUACUUGCGUGCUUAGAGUGCGGGAGAGGCAAUCGGAAUUCUCGGUGUAGCGGUGAAAUGCGUAGAUAUCGAGAGGAACUCCGGUGACGAAGGUGGGUUGCUGGACCGACACUGACGCUGAGGCGCGAAAGCUAGGGGAGAAAACGGG
rnacentral:rRNA from 1 species